GUAUGUGUGCAUGUGUUUGUAUGUGUGUGUGUAUGUAUGAGCUUGUUGUAUUCAUAUACAGGCGCACUAGCCUAUUCAUGCCCAUGGUAGAGACUAAAAGGUGUCUUCCUCUACCCCUUUCCACCUUAUCUUUUUCACAAGGUCUUUUGCUAAACUAGAGCUCACAGUGUUAGACACACUGACCAGUCUCUCUCCAGAGCCCACUGUGCUUCGAUGAAUGUGCUGCCAUCUCCAGCUUUCAUCCGGUUCUCUCCAGGGCCUCAUUAGCAUUCUCGUCAUCUGCCAAAGUCGGCUCUUCCUUGGCAAGAACAAAGCAGAACCUUCAUCUUAUCUGCAGGAGAACACCAGGGUUCAGUUUCCUCUGUUCACUUGAUGCUGAGAAGAGCCUCAGUCCAGGGCACUGUGCCAGCUUGUGCUAAAAACCAGCCUAGGAGCUUCGAGCAGCAACCUGAGCGGCCUGUGGAGCCAGGCUGCAUUCCCAGCUGCAAACAGCCCUGCAAAAUGACUCCGAGGAGGAGGUUGGAGAAAGGAGUGCACCGUGACCAGAUUAGCAACUGUGGGUAUUCACCUGAGCAAAAGGGCUGUUGUGAGGAUGGUGAUGAAGUAAACAGGUAAGGCCUGCAGAGUGAGGAAAGGUUGAUGUGUUUUAUAGCAGCAUGAUACAGCAAGAUGGCGUGCCUCAGUGGACCCAUUCUGAGGCACACACCCCCUCCCCACCACCGCCCUGAGGUGUCAGCCAUGUGAUGGGUCUGGUAUAAAAUAUAAAAUGAAGUUUAUCUGGUACCUGGAAAGGGGAUCAG
rnacentral:sRNA from 1 species